UACGGAGGGAGCUAGCGUUGUUCGGAAUUACUGAGCGUAAAGCGCACGUAGGCGGCUUUGUAAGUUAGAGGUGAAAGCCCGGGGCUCAACCCCGGAAUUGCCUUUAAGACUGCAUCGCUUGAAUCCAGGAGAGGUGAGUGGAAUUCCGAGUGUAGAGGUGAAAUUCGUAGAUAUUCGGAAGAACACCAGUGGCGAAGGCGGCUCACUGGACUGGGUAUUGACGCUGAGGUGCGAAAAGCGUGGGGAGCAAACAGGG
rnacentral:rRNA from 1 species